rnacentral:rRNA from 1 species
GAUGAACGCUGGCGGCGUGCCUAAUACAUGCAAGUCGAGCGAACAGAUGAGGAGCUUGCUCCUCUGACGUUAGCGGCGGACGGGUGAGUAACACGUGGAUAACCUACCUAUAAGACUGGGAUAACUUCGGGAAACCGGAGCUAAUACCGGAUAAUAUAUUGAACCGCAUGGUUCAAUAGUGAAAGACGGUUUUGCUGUCACUUAUAGAUGGAUCCGCGCCGCAUUAGCUAGUUGGUAAGGUAACGGCUUACCAAGGCAACGAUGCGUAGCCGACCUGAGAGGGUGAUCGGCCACACUGGAACUGAGACACGGUCCAGACUCCUACGGGAGGCAGCAGUAGGGAAUCUUCCGCAAUGGGCGAAAGCCUGACGGAGCAACGCCGCGUGAGUGAUGAAGGUCUUCGGAUUGUAAAACUCUGUUAUUGGGGAAGAACAAAUGUGUAAGUAACUAUGCACGUCUUGACGGUACCUAAUCAGAAAGCCACGGCUAACUACGUG